CGGAGUAUAGCUCAGCCUGGUAGAGCGCUUGCUUCGGGAGCAAGAGGUCGUUGGUUCGAAUCCAGCUACUCCGACCA
rnacentral:tRNA from 3 species